UCUUUAUAAAAAGCUAUUGGCAGUAGGGUUUUCGAAAAAAAGAAAUUGAAGGGCUGGUGGAAUUGAGGGGAAUGUUGGCUGGCUCGAGGCUGCUUCAGAGUAAGGUUCUGAAUAGAAGAAAGUCUCUGAAUAAUGCUUCGGACCAGGCUUCAUUCCCCUCAAAACAUAAUUUUAUACAUGGGAAAGAAUUAAUUUUUAUGUUAUAUAUGAUUCUCGUGAGUGUCGUGUUGAGAGGAAUGUUGUCUGGCUCGAGAUCAUCGAGGUGAUUCUAAUAUGUUAGUGGAAACCCUAAAUGAUUCUCGGACCAGGCUUCAUCCCCCCCAACCAUCAUUUGCAGCUUGCCACAGCCAACCUUGGAAACUAGAAAGAGAGAGAUAAGAGCAAUGAAUUGACAAUUAUUUCUUGGGAUAUGUAAAUAGAUUAGCACAUUUUGGAGUUAUUCAAAGGCAAACUUCGCCUUGAAAGUUGAACCAGCAGCAGCAAUUGUAUUUUUUUCUCUAUUUUUGUGUACUGGGAAUUGAAUAAUUGUACAAGAUAACCUCAAACCCAUUUAUGUUAUUUAACCUGGAUUGUGAAUAUAGGUGAUUACCAUCAGUUCAUAAGAUAAUGGGAUCACUAACAUAGAAACGGGUGAUUAUAUAUAGCAUCAUUCUUUAAGAUU